CCUACGGGGGGCAGCAGUAGGGAAUAUUGCUCAAUGGGGGAAACCCUGAAGCAGCAACGCCGCGUGGAGGAUGAAGGUUUUCGGAUUGUAAACUCCUUUUGUUAGAGAAGAUAAUGACGGUAUCUAACGAAUAAGCACCGGCUAACUCCGUGCCAGCAGCCGCGGUAAUACGGCGGGUGCAAGCGUUACUCGGAAUCACUGGGCGUAAAGCGAGCGUAGGCGGGAUAGCAAGUCAGAUGGGAAAUCCUAUGGCUUAACCAUAGAACUGCAUUUGAAACUGUUAUUCUAGAGUAUGGGAGAGGUAGGUGGAAUGCUUGGUGUAGGGGUAAAAUGCGUAGAGAUCACGAAGAAUACUCAUUGCGAAGGCGACCUGCUAGAACAUAACUGUCGCUGAUGCGCGAAAGCGUGGGGAGCAAACAGGAUUAGAUACCCUUGUAGUC
rnacentral:rRNA from 1 species